UGAAAUAUUAAUGAAACAAGGAUUAAUGGAAUGGAGAGGAGGAACCGGUUGGGUAGACAAGGUAGGGUUGAUGGAAGGUACAGUAGCAUGGGAUUGAGGUACAUUGGUAGGGUUCAUGACAGAAGCGGAUGUUGGGGUUGGAGUUUGAGGUUUAGGAGGUGACAGUGGUUGAAGUGAAUGAAGGUUUUGAAAGGCUUCUAAUUCAUCAAAGAAACGAUAAGUCUUGGUCUUGCCAUCAGCUUUGCUGGUUCUGCCAUCUUUGGUUCUCUUG
rnacentral:lncRNA from 1 species